CAUUGAAAUAUUUUUCCGCGGCCUGGAAACUAUGCCAGUGUAGUGUUUGAAUGUGAGGGAGGGAAGCGAAUAUAAAAUGAAUCAUGUUCAUAUUCCCGCAUGCAUGUCUUAAAAAUAGUCACAAUGGAAGAGUGAACGCGUCCGGUCGAGAGGAGGUCGCGGUCGCCCUUACCACCCCGACCGCCCGGGACCGAACGGGUCAACUUGCCAAACUAGUUCUUUUAUUUCCGACCUGCAUAACAGGUCGGGCAAUAGGGCUACGUAGCAAGUAGGUAACUCAUCAGUGCACGCGAAAUUGUUUCGGCCGGUCAUCGCCCUGACGUCCUUCGUGUUAUGCGAACACUCACGCAACGUUAAUUAUUAGAGCACAUUGUCAUUUCAACUACGAAACUUUGUUUAAUUCUUUAUCCAGUUACAAUUACAAUUAUUGUUGUGUAUCGCAUGAGUUUCUGAGGUAUCUAAAGGUAUAUUCAAUUUGUAUUAGAAAAAACAAAAUCAAUUUUUUGUUAAGUAAUAUAUUCAUUUAUUCUCGUA